AGUGGCGACCGGGUGAGUAACACGUGACCAACCUGCCCUCGAGUGGGGAAUAACUCCGGGAAACCGGGGCUAAUACCGCAUAACAUCCUUGAGUCGGAAGAUUUGGGGAUCAAAGGAGCAAUUCGCUUGAGGAGGGGGUCGCGGCUGAUUAGCUAGUUGGUGAGGUAACGGCCCACCAAGGCAAAGAUCGGUAUCCGGCCUGAGAGGGCGCACGGACACACUGGAACUGAAACACGGUCCAGACUCCUACGGGAGGCAGCAGUGGGGAAUUUUGCGCAAUGGGGGAAACCCUGACGCAGCAACGCCGCGUGGAGGAUGAAGUCCCUUGGGACGUAAACUCCUUUCGACCGGGACGAUAAUGACGGUACCGGUGGAAGAAGCACCGGCUAACUCUGUGCCAGCAGCCGCGGUAAUACAGAGGGUGCGAGCGUUGUUCGGAAUUAUUGGGCGUAAAGGGCGCGUAGGCGGUGCGGUAAGUCACCUGUGAAAUCUCCCGGCUCAACUGGGAGCCUGCAGGCGAAACUGCCGUGCUUGAGUGUGAGAGAGGCUCGUGGAAUUGCAGGUGUAGCGGUGAAAUGCGUAGAUAUCUGCAGGAACACCCGUGGCGAAAGCGGCGAGCUGGAUCACUACUGACGCUGAGGAACGAAAGCUAGGGGAGCAAACAGGAUUAGAUACCCUGGUAGUCCUAGCCCUAAACGAUCAGGACUUGGGGUGCCGCCCGUUCGGGCGUCGUCCCGGAGCUAACGCGUUAAGUCCUGCACCUGGGGAGUACGGCCGCAAGACUGAAACUCAAAGGAAUUGACGGGGGCCCGCACAAGCGGUGGAGCAUGUGGUUCAAUUCGA
rnacentral:rRNA from 1 species